GGAUGUGGCUCAAGUGGUAGAGCGCUUGCCUAGCAUGCAUGAGGCACUGGAUUCGAUUCUCAGCACCA
rnacentral:tRNA from 1 species